CUUCCUGCAAACCACUACCUCACAAAAAAGACAAGAAUCCUACACCCCCAACCCAGACCCCUUCCUGGCAGGUCCUCAGGCUGGGCAUGGGCAGAGCAAAGACAGACUUGAGGAGGUAACCAGGGUGAAGGCAAACACUGGGCCAAAACCAGUGGGCAUCCUGAUGUGUGGAUUCCAAAGGGACCAGGCGAGCAGGGAGCAGUACUGAUGUCAGGGAGGCCGGAGGGAGACAGAGGAAGCCCGUAAUCAGGGAGCUUGGGAGCUGCCUGCUGGGCAGGGAGGAGCUGUGGACACCAAUCGGGCACUCUCAAGCCCUUCCCAGCCUGGCUGUCUCCCUCCUCUGGCCCUUCGGUGUUUCCCUUGGGAGUGGUGUGGGUCCCUACCUGGACUCAUCCUGAGGAAGCUGCCUCCUGGAGCAGGCAGGAUGCUGGAGCUCCGUGUGGCCGGCCCUGGUUCUCUGCGAAGCCGCUCCUGAGAGCCUGCCUAGUGCAGAAGUGCCCCGAGCUGGCUGCUCUUCCUGCCUAAAACGGGGCACUGAGCACAGGAGCCUCUGGAUCUGAUCCCCUGCCUGUUUUUGUACGGCUCUCAAGCUAGGAAUACCUUUUACAUUUUUAAAUGAUUGAAAAAAAAAUCCAAGUAAUCAUGGUGUUAAAAUGAUAUGAAAUUUGAAUUUCAGUGUCCAUAAAUCAAGUUGGGACACAGCUUCUCUCAUUCAUUUACAGUUGUCUAAGUUUCUGUCACUCUUCGGCAGCAGAGGUGAGCAGCCAAAACAGAGACUGCAUGGCCUGCAAAGCCUGAAAUAUUUACCGGCUGCUCUUUACAGAAAGAGUUGGCCGUUCACUACCCUGGAGUGUGGACCUCUGGGCGAGGAACCUGUAUCCGUAGCGCUGCCUUGCACGUCCAGGCUCACAGAUAUUCAUCCAAAAGAAAUAAAAAUAUAUGCCUAUAAAAGCCUUGCACAAGAAUGGACACAGAAGACUUAUUCAUUAAAGCUCCAAAGAGGAAACGGCCCAGGGGAAUAUCAACAGGCAAAUGAAGAAACAAAGUGUGAGGCAACCUCCCGUCACUCAACAGGUGGCUGAGGGACCCCCGCACCAGGGCAGCACCUGCUGGACUUGGGUUCACCAGCGAACGAGCAGGUCUGAUGCUCCUCUCAGGGUCUAAGCCGAAUCCAAGAAUCUGAUGAGUGUGAAGACACUGGAAGAACCUGAUCACGCAGGCUCCUUUCUCAAGCACCCCGAUGCCCGCAGGUGAAGGGGCACAUGCCAAGGACAAGCCCGCCUCAGCCCUGGACAUCGUUCAUCGCGCGAGUGAGCAAUGCUUGAGUGAGAAACCUGACAGCGGUGUCCCCAUAACUUCCACCGCCUCUGGAGCCACCCGGCAAAAGCCAGCGUCUGACAAUCCUUCAGUAAUAGUGAAGACACCUGUUAUAUUGCUGUCCAGCCAAAAGCUCCUUGUUGCAGGAUGAACAGCCCCAGUUGUUUCAAACAUGCCCCACAUCUCAUGGCCUCCACACAGGUCGUAUUAAACACCUCUAACAGAGACUGCACGCCAAGUGUGGCUCCUCAAAGACCUUGCCUGGGGACUCUGCCACUGAUGGCUGCGACCUGCACACUCCUGAGAGCUCCUUCCUGGAACUGCCUCAUUUCUCUCAUCAUCCUUGAUUUUUUGAGAUGGAGUCUCAGUCUUGCUCUGUCACCCAGGCUGGAGUGCAGUGGUGCGAUCUCUGCUCACUG
rnacentral:lncRNA from 1 species